rnacentral:rRNA from 1 species
UGGGUAGUCCGCACGAGCGCACCUUAUCUUCAGUUGCCAUCAGGUUAUGCUGGGCACUCUGAAGAAACUGCCGGUGAUAAGCCGGAGGAAGGCGGGGAUGACGUCAAGUCCUCAUGGCCCUUAUGACCUGGGCUACACACGUGCUACAAUGGCAGUGACAAUGAGCAGCGAUAGCGCGAGCUUCAGCUAACCUCAAAAACCUGUCUCAGUUCGGAUUGAACUCUGCAACUCGAGUUCAUGAAGUUGGAAUCGCUAGUAAUCGUAGAUCAGCAUGCUACGGUGAAUACGUUCCCGGGCCUUGUACACACCGCCCGUCACACCAUGGAAGUUGGUUUUACCCAAAGACGACAAGCUAACCGCAAGGAGGCAGUCGGCCACGGUAAGGUCAGCGACUGGGGUGAAGUCGUAACAAGGUAGCCGUACCGGAAGGUGUGGCUGGAUCACCUCCUUUCU